UACACGACCGUACCGCAAACCGACACUGGUGCGCGAGAUGAGUAUUCUCAGGCGCUUGAGAGAACUCGGGAGAAGGAACUCGGCAAAUUGACACCGUAACUUCGGAAGAAGGUGUGCCUUUAGUAGGUGAAGUCCCUCGCGGAUGGAGCCCAAUGAGGUUGCAAAGAAUCGGUGGCUGCGACUGUUUAAUAAAAACACAGCACUCUGCAAACACGAAAGUGGACGUAUAGGGUGUGACGCCUGCCCGGUGCUGGAAGAUUAAGUGAUGGGGUGCAAGCUCUUGAUCGAAGUCCCAGUAAACGGCGGCCGUAACAAUAACGGUCCUAAGGUAGCGAAAUUCCUUGUCGGGUAAGUUCCGACCUGCACGAAUGGCGUAACGAUGGCCACACUGUCUCCUCCCGAGACUCAGCGAAGUUGAAAUGUUUGUGAUGAUGCAAUCUCCCCGCGGAAAGACGGAAAGACCCCAUGAACCUUUACUGUAGCUUUGUAUUGGACUUUGAACGGAUCUGUGUAGGAUAGGUGGGAGGCUUUGAAGCCGGGUCGCUAGAUCUGGUGGAGCCAACGUUGAAAUACCACCCUGGUGCGUUUGAGGUUCUAACCUAGGCCCGUUAUCCGGGCCGGGGACAGUGCAUGGUAGGCAGUUUGACUGGGGCGGUCUCCUCCCAAAGCGUAACGGAGGAGUUCGAAGGUACGCUAGUUACGGUCGGACAUCGUGACGAUAGUGCAAUGGCAUAAGCGUGCUUAACUGCGAGACUGACAAGUCGAGCAGAUGCGAAAGCAGGACAUAGUGAUCCGGUGGUUCUGUAUGGAAGGGCCAUCGCUCAACGGAUAAAAGGUACUCUGGGGAUAACAGGCUGAUACCGCCCAAGAGUUCAUAUCGACGGCGGUGUUUGGCACCUCGAUGUCGGCUCAUCUCAUCCUGGGGCUGUAGCCGGUCCCAAGGGUAUGGCUGUUCGCCAUUUAAAGAGGUACGUGAGCUGGGUUUAAAACGUCGUGAGACAGUUUGGUCCCUAUCUUCCGUGGGCGCUGCAGAUUUGAGGAAGCCUGCUCCUAGUACGAGAGGACCGGAGUGGACGCACCUCUGGUGUACCUGUUGUCACGCCAGUGGCAUUGCAGGGUAGCUAAGUGCGGAAGAGAUAACCGCUGAAAGCAUCUAAGCGGGAAACUCGUUUCAAGAUGAGAUCUGCCGGGGCCUUGAGCCCCCUGAAGAGUCGUUCUAGACCAGGACGUUGAUAGGUCAGGUGUGGAAGCGCAGUAAUGCGUUAAGCUAACUGAUACUAAUUGCUCGUGCGGCUUGACU
rnacentral:rRNA from 1 species